rnacentral:tRNA from 1 species
GAAGUUCAUAAAAGUAAGCUUCUAACUUACUAUAAAGCAUAAAUAUGUUUAUACUUCU